rnacentral:sRNA from 1 species
GUAGCCUGGGUUCCAGAAGGCCUGAUUGGGACCGGAAGCGCGGAACUCUCAGCCCAGCAGCUCCUUGCUGGCGGCGGUCCGCGCCCCCGCCCCCAACUGCUUGGGGUUCUGCGCCUUCUGCCAGCAAACCGGCCCCUACCGAGGGCCGAAGACGCCGGGGGAAAGCGUCACGAUUUGGGCUUGUAAAAUGCCACAUGCCUUGCGGCCUGUUUCUCUUCCCAUUCCUUUUGUCCACUGCUGCUUGCUUCAGCUCUUGUACAUCUGGUCCUGUUCCCGCCAGCUGAUUUUAAUGCUCAGAUCCUCCUCCUCUUCCAGGUCUCCGUCUACCUUCCACUACAGUCAACUUCUGAGCUAGCGCAUUGCUGCCUUGCCCUGCUCUAGCGCUCCCACUUGGAUCUCGACUGACUUCGUAGUCGUCUGCUUAAUCUGUCACACUUUAGUAUUCCGAGGAUCGUAUUUAGAUGCCCUUUGAGAAAGACUUUGUUCCUGAACUCCUCCCUUCUCUUUUAGGGUUGGACUACUAUAAGACAAUUCUCUUGUGUGCAUUCUAGAGACCCUUCAAGUUACAACAUUUAAUAAUGUAUAAUUGCUAUUUGUACGUGUAUUAAGGCUGUUUUGGUGUGAUUAUUUUUUUCGAUUACUUAUCUUUUGAAGUUAUGGAGAGUUUCUUUUUCCUGAGACAGGGUCUCUCUGUCACCCAGGCUGGAGUGCAGCGAUCAUAGUUCCGGGCAGCCUCCAACUCCUCCUAGGCUCAAGCGAUCCUCUUGCCUCAGCCUCCCGAGUAGCUAGGACUACAGGCAUGCGCCACAACAUUCGGCUAAAAAAAAAAACAUUUUUUUUUAACCUUUUAGAGACAGGGUCUGGCUGUAUUGCCUCAGGCUGGUCUGGAACUCUUGGCCUCAAGCCAUCCUCUCGCCUCAGCUUCCCAAAGUGUUGGAAUGACAGGAUUGAGCCGCUUCGCUGGCCUCUGUUGCUUUUAUCAUCUCUUUACAGGGCAUUCCUCAUAGUCUCGCUACAUUAACCAUUCCAUUUUUAUGAAUAUGUGGGAUAGACAAGCUGUUGUGUGAGCUCUACAGAUGUUUAAAGAAGAACUUUUCUACCAGAUGGAGAUUGUAGGAUCUUGAAGUACUACAGAAGAGGGAGGACAUACUCUAAGAAUUACAUCUAAAUUCGAAUUUUGGGCCCAUCAUUUAGUAGUUGGAUGCCCUUCAACUAAACCUCUUUCUAAGCCUGAACUUUUGAAUAUAAAAUGGGGUUGAUGUAAUACCUACUUAAUAGAAUUGUGCGGAUUGAGCUAAUAUAUGAUUUCACAGGUUAAAUUUUGUUGCUUACAUUCCUCGAAGUAAAUUCUGUAAUCUCAGUUCUGUAGAUUAGGGUCAGAGGGGUUAAGUAAUGUGCUCUAGUUCCCUGAGCUUACUAGCUCAGUAGGUGUGUGAAAUAGUCAGAAUCCAGGAAUUCUGACUCCAAACUAUUAAUCUAUACUGCUUCAAGUCUUUCCCAUUUUCUGUGUGUGUGUUUUAACCCCUUUUUGAAGUUCAUAGCACAUCAUUGUACCCCUUUUUAUUUUUUGCUUAUGGCUUUUUUCUGCCUGAAUUUUUACUGAUUUUUUUUUUUUUUGGAGACUGAGUCUCGCUCUGUCACCAGGCUGGAGUGCAGUGGCGCGAUCUCGGCAACCUUUGCCUUCUGGUUUCAAGCAAUUCUGCCUCAGCCUCCGGAGUAGCUAGGACUACAGUCACGCGCCACCACGUCCAGCUAAUUUUUGUAUUUUUAGUGGAGAUGGGGUUUCACCAUGUUGGCCAGGAUGAUAUCCGUCUCGACCUCGCGAUCCCCCUGCCUCGGCCUCCCAAAGUGCUGAAAUUACAGGCGUGAGCCACCGCGCCCGGCCCAUUUUUACUAAUCAUAUGUCCAUUUUGUCAGGAGAUUUGUUAUCUUGAAAGUUUCUCUUGAUAGUGAUAUCUUCCAGUGUUAUUUAUUAUAUAUAUUAUUGAGUAGCCACUAUGUAGUAAAACUAUUGUGCCAGUAGCUCGCAGUUCAUGACUUUAGGCAUACAUGAUUUUUAAAUAUUUAAUACAGUGGAAAGAUGUUUUCUUUGUGCCCCUGUUCCUCUUCCUUCUUUCCCAUGGUAACCAUGGUUACCAGAUAUUUGUGUAUUCUUCUUGAGACAUUCCAUGCAUUAUCAUUUCCUUAUCUGAAGCACUCUGGUAGACUUUUUCCAAUACUUAAAUUGAAAUUCUGUCAUAAUUAUCAGAGGACAUUCUCGUUUUGCUUUUUACAUCUUAUAGUGAAAAAGAUGACUUAGGUAUAAAUCCUAGCAGGAUUUGGUGCUAUGGAGAAAUUUUUGGUAGAAUAUAAGAGUGCAGUGGAGAAGAAACUGGCAGAGUACAAAUGUAACACCAACACAGCAAUUGAACUAAAAUUAGUUCGUUUUCCUGAAGAUCUUGAAAAUGACAUUAGAACUUUCUUUCCUGAGUAUACCCAUCAACUCUUUGGGGAUGAUGAAACUGCUUUUGGUUACAAGGGUCUAAAGAUCCUGUUAUACUAUAUUGCUGGUAGCCUGUCAACAAUGUUCCGUGUUGAAUAUGCAUCUAAAGUUGAUGAGAACUUUGACUGUGUAGAGGCAGAUGAUGUUGAGGGCAAAAUUAGACAAAUCAUUCCACCUGGAUUUUGCACAAACACGAAUGAUUUCCUUUCUUUACUGGAAAAGGAAGUUGAUUUCAAGCCAUUCGGAACCUUACUUCAUACCUACUCAGUUCUCAGUCCAACAGGAGGAGAAAACUUUACCUUUCAGAUAUAUAAGGCUGACAUGACAUGUAGAGGCUUUCGAGAAUAUCAUGAAAGGCUUCAGACCUUUUUGAUGUGGUUUAUUGAAACUGCUAGCUUUAUUGACGUGGAUGAUGAAAGAUGGCACUACUUUCUAGUAUUUGAGAAGUAUAAUAAGGAUGGAGCUACGCUCUUUGCGACCGUAGGCUACAUGACAGUCUAUAAUUACUAUGUGUACCCAGACAAAACCCGGCCACGUGUAAGUCAGAUGCUGAUUUUGACUCCAUUUCAAGGUCAAGGCCAUGGUGCUCAACUUCUUGAAACAGUUCAUAGAUACUACACUGAAUUUCCUACAGUUCUUGAUAUUACAGCGGAAGAUCCAUCCAAAAGCUAUGUAAAAUUACGAGACUUUGUGCUUGUGAAGCUUUGUCAAGAUUUGCCCUGUUUUUCCCGGGAAAAAUUAAUGCAAGGAUUCAAUGAAGAUAUGGCGAUAGAGGCACAACAGAAGUUCAAAAUAAAUAAGCAACAUGCUAGAAGAGUUUAUGAAAUUCUUCGACUACUGGUAACUGACAUGAGUGAUGCCGAACAAUACAGAAGCUAUAGACUGGAUAUUAAAAGAAGACUAAUUAGCCCAUAUAAGAAAAAGCAGAGAGAUCUUGCUAAGAUGAGAAAAUGUCUCAGACCAGAAGAACUGACAAACCAGAUGAACCAAAUAGAAAUAAGCAUGCAACAUGAACAGCUGGAAGAGAGUUUUCAGGAACUAGUGGAAGAUUACCGGCGUGUUAUUGAACGACUUGCUCAAGAGUAAAGAUUAUACUGCUCUGUACAGGAAGCUUGCAAAUUUUCUGUACAAUGUGCUGUGAAAAAUCUGAUGACUUUAAUUUUAAAAUCUUGUGACAUUUUGCUUAUACUAAAAGUUAUCUAUCUUUAGUUGAAUAUUUUCUUUUGGAGAGAUUGUAUAUUUUAAAAUACUGUUUAGAGUUUAUGAGCAUAUAUUGCAUUUAAAGAAAGAUAUAGCUUCUGAAAUACUACUGCAAUUGCUUCCCUUCUUAAACAGUAUAAUAAAUGCUUAGUUGUGA